UAGAGUGCGGUCAGCUCCACAUAAAGGCCAGAUCAGUAGAGACUAUGAGAGGGAGUUCCCUUUGGUUGAGGUGGGACCCCGGCAGCUUCUGAAGCCCCCUGGACAUGCACGGACCAGUCUGGCUUCUGUCAGGAUGGACAGUGAGGAACAAGAUAUCGAUAGUGAUUCUGAGUGGCAACGAUUUAUUGAUUUAAGUUAUCAGGGCCCUGUAAACACUUCCAUUCUUCAGAGGUUAAAGACCAAGUUGCUUGUAACCAAAAAUCAGCUAUUGGUCAGGAAGGGUGAAGAGGCCUCUUCAACUCUACAGCCACUAAAGAUCCUCAGGAACAUUGUUCAGAGCUGUCA